CAACUGGAAGUCUCACUGAGGAAAGGACUCUUUGCCUCAGACCCGGACAAUCGGCACUCUCGCCUGCUGUACAAACUAUUGGGACUUCCCCGGCUGAUUGUGGUGUGGAUGUUAUUUACUCUGACAACAAAGGUCUGAGGCAAGGAUUGCUGAUGUGGAGUCAAAGAGAAGUCCAGACGGGAGAAGACGAGCUAGCAUCCCAGAUAUUUCCGUGUAGCCCUCCAGAUCCACUCCCCACUCUUCCCCACCCUGUUCUGUGCCCCAGCUGCUGAUCUGUAGGACCUGCAGCAAGGUACCUGCUCUUUGGCUUCCCACUGUGUUAUCCAGAGGAAUGCAUUGACAGAGAAUCAGCAAGGAGAAAAGUUGGACCUGUAUUCCCCAGACAUCUUGCUGCUGGGCCCCCUCAGGUCUAAGGAUGGUACGAUGUAUGAUUUUCCUGUUACCAGCCUAUACCAACCAUUGUUGCUUCUGCUAUGUGCACACAUUUAUAAAGUGUCCUUUUAUUAAACUUUCCUUAAUCACA
rnacentral:lncRNA from 1 species